AAGUCCCCGUAACGAGCGCAACCCUUGCUCUUAGUUACAAGUGUCUAAGGGGACUGCCGGCGAGAAGCCGGAGGAAGGUGGGGAUGACGUACAAGUCAGCAUGGCCUUUAUAUCCAGGGCUACACACACGCUACAAUGGUCGGUACAAAGGGCAGCCAAACCGUGAGGUGGAGCGAAUCCCAACAAAGCCGGUCGUAGUUCGGAUUGCAGGCUGCAACCCGCCUGCAUGAAGUUGGAGUUGCUAGUAACCGUGCGUCAGCUAUAGCGCGGUGAAUACGUUCCCGGGUCUUGUACACACCGCCCGUCACGUCAUGGGAGUUGGCAACGCCUGAAGUCGAUAGCCUGACCUGCAAAGGGGGGCGUCGCCGAAGGCGGGGUUAGCAACUGGGACGAAGUUGUAACAAGGUA
rnacentral:rRNA from 1 species